AGGCAAUCAACACACACAGCACCACUGUGUACAUGCAAUCCCAACACACGUACAACUACUCUAGCAGAACUCUGAACUUUGUACACAUGCAUGCUUAUAUAACUCAGUGUACAAACUCCACACACACACACCUUUGCAUAAUUAUUUUCAAUACAAUCCCAUUCAUGGCUAUGCAUGGGAAAUGGCGGCUAUUUGUUUGGUUUAUGUUGACAUACUUGCUUUGUGGCAUCUAAAAUACAUCAAGAUUAGGACCAGCAGGAGCAUGCAGGCUCACACACAUUGCUGACGUGCUAAACACCAAGCCAACAUGCUCCAAUGUGCUCUGGAGGACAGAAAGUGAGAACAGACACCACAAGCUGUGAGGUGCAGCCUGGAGCCUAGUGUGAAUGUAAGCAUUGCAUUAAAGUGUGUGUCAUGCAGUUUCACUCAUCUCUCAGCUGAGAUCCAAGUAUGUGAAAAAGUGUUAGUGUGGCUUCUGAGGUGAACGUGUGAAAGAAAGAGUGAGAGUGUGCAAGAAGAGGAGUUUGUUUUCACAUCUCCUAACCACCAGGGGCAGUGUUUAACACUUCUUGUGCAUAUGUACAUGCAUGCUGAAAUAUUCCCACAAUGUCACAUAAGUACAUGACAGUAUUUGCAAUAAAAACUGCUGUCAAAUAACAAAUAUUCAAUCUACAUGAGACUACAGAAUUGUAUGGAGCUUUCCAGUUUGUCCUGUUCAAAUCACAUUGGAUGUUCUUUCAACAGCUGCACAAACCCUAUACUCUACUAUGAUUGCUGCUACUAGCACUGCUACUCAUUCUACAUACUGUAUACUGUAUAUAUAUAAAACUAUAAGUAACUAUACAUGAGUUAUACAUAAUUAAACUGAGCACUCAAAGUGGGCUCGGACCAAUAUAAUGUGUGUAUGUGAAAAUGGUCUCAUUUCCCCUAAGAGGACCCACAAACAAGGUUUACUGCCUCAAAAGCUGGACUAAGUACGGUUCAUUUGUAGGUCCUUGUCCAGAUCCUGAUUCGAUUGGUCUGUGCAAUGUGAACACAAAGACACACUGGUCCACUUGGUUUUUCGUUAUAUCAGGAACACCUCCAGGCUUGCCUAAGUUCUUUCCACCACCUCAGUACCAGAAUAGAAAAGUCUUGCUGUAUAUCUACCUCUUAUCCUGAGGGAUGGUGGGACCAGUCAAGCUGUACUGGUAGAGCCGAGGAAGCAUGGUGCAGUGCAAGAUGUGACAGGAGCUUUGAGCUAAGAGGGUGCUGGUCCAUUUAGCUUUGUAGGCAAGCAUCAUUGUGCUAAAUAUGAUGCAUGCAGCUACCAGAAGCCAGUGAGGUGAGCGCAGCAGUGGGGCGGUAUGUGGGAACUUAGGGAGGUUGAAAAUAAGUCACUGCACUGCAUUUUGGAUCAUAUGCAGAGGACGGACUGCGUUCAUAGGUACACCUGCCAGCAUUCCAGUCUCAAAAUGACAAGAGACUGAGCAGUCUCCCAAAUUAUCUGAGCAGCCUGUAUAAAAAUGACCGAAUGCUUUUGAUUUUAUAGAGAAGAAACCAAAAUGAACAUUAUUAGCAACAUGUGAGAAAAAGGACAGUUGACUGUCAAUGGUUACCCCAAGGUACCAUGGCUACCCAUGGCUGAAGGGGAGAUCAGAUCAUUGUGUAUGGAUAUUGCUGCUGCUACUUACGUACAAGGCUCUUAACGGUUUAGCUCCCAUGUAUCUAGCCAGUCUUCUAACACGUUACAAUCCUUCACGCUCUCUGAGAUCACAAAAUUCUGGACUUCUGGUAGUUCCCAGAAUAUCUAAGUCCACUAAAGGCGGUAGAGCGUUUUCUUAUUUAGCUCCCAAACUUUGGAAUAGUCUUCCUGAUAGUGUUCGGGGCUCAGACACACUUUCCCAGUUUAAAUGUUGAUUAAAAACUCAUCUCUUUAGUCAGGCGUACACAUAACACAUCCCAUUAUACUGUGCACUAUUACACUAGACUUGCACAUUUUUAUGAACAGAAGAUAUGUUAAUCCCUCUACACUGCUCUUCUCUUUUUCUACCCAUGCCGAGACACCCAGAAAUUGUACCAGCUCCGAUCGUCUUCCGUGCGAUGAAGUUUUUGGACCUCCACUGAGAUGAGGCCGACUCUGUGAGAAUCCUGAGACAUCUACAGAUCUACCAGCUCCAGUUGGACUCUGUGAUACUAAGAGGAGAUCUGAAUAUCUAUAUUUGUAAUCACACCAUCUAGUGUCACCCAUAUGAGGAUGGGUUCCCCUUUGAGUCUGGUUCCUCUCAAGGUUUCUUCCUCUACAAAUCUAAUGGAGUUUUUUUCCUUGCCACUGCUGCCUGAGUCACCUCAGACUUGCUCAUUGUGGAUAAAUACAUAUACAUACAUACAUACAUACAUACACACCGUGAACUAUAUAUAUCUUGAAUUUUUAUUAUAUUAAUUCUUUAUACUACUCCUUAUGUUUAUCUUCUGUUCUAUGUUUAUGUUCUGUAAAGCUGCUUUGAGACAAUGUCCAU